rnacentral:rRNA from 1 species
AAGAGACAGCAGCCGCCGCGGUAAUACGAAGGGUGCAAGCGUUAAUCGGAAUUACUGGGCGUAAAGCGUGCGUAGGCGGUGAGUUAAGUCUGCUGUGAAAUCCCCGGGCUCAACCUGGGAAUGGCAGUGGAUACUGGCUCGCUAGAGUGUGUCAGAGGAUGGUGGAAUUCCCGGUGUAGCGGUGAAAUGCGUAGAGAUCGGGAGGAACAUCAGUGGCGAAGGCGGCCAUCUGGGACAACACUGACGCUGAGGCACGAAAGCGUGGGGAGCAAACAGGAUUAGAUACCCCAGUAGUCCCUGUCUCUUAUAC